UACGUAGGGGGCUAGCGUUGUCCGGAUUUAUUGGGCGUAAAGAGCGUGUAGGCGGCCAGGUAGGUCUGCUGUGAAAACUCGAGGCUCAACCUCGAGACGUCGGCGGAAACCAUCUGGCUAGAGUCCGGAAGAGGAGAGUGGAAUUCCUGGUGUAGCGGUGAAAUGCGCAGAUAUCAGGAAGAACACCCGUGGCGAAGGCGGCUCUCUGGGACGGUACUGACGCUGAGACACGAAGGCCAGGGGAGCAAACGGG
rnacentral:rRNA from 1 species